GACAGAGGUGCCGAGCGUUAGGCGGAAUCACUGGGCUUAAAGCGCGCGCAGGCGGUCCUUUAAGUCUGAUGUGAAAGCCCACGGCUCAACCGUGGAGGGUCAUUGGAAACUGGGGGACUUGAGUACAGAAGAGAAGAGUGGAAUUCCACGUGUAGCGGUGAAAUGCGUAGAGAUGUGGAGGAACACCAGUGGCGAAGGCGACUCUUUGGUCUGUAACUGACGCUGAGGCGCGAAAGCGUGGGGAGCAAACAGG
rnacentral:rRNA from 1 species